ACGGAGUUUCAAAAUGUAUUAUACAACACGUACGAUAUGCGCGUAAAAGUUUUCGAUAGCAAGGAAGAAUUUUAUUUGAUCAUUGCGACGUAUUCGUCGGAACGUUAGUUGGUCGGAGAACGGUUCCGCCAUAUCCAUAGCCCCACAUAUACGUGCAAUUUCCCUCUUGCCUAUACAAAUCUGAAGAUGAUAAAAUUCAAGACGUACGAGUGAAAUUCACCGGGAACCACAUUGGAAUACCGGGUCCCCUCUAUACGCUGAUCGAUCGUCUAUUGAAAAUUAUGAAAAACCCCCUAAUUCCAGCGAAUAUUCGAAGCGUAUCGAUUCCGAGCUGCACGUACGACUAACGACUCGGUAUCGGAAGAAUUUCAUUUAAAUCGGGCUCGAUUGAAUUGAAAUUUUUCCAUCUCGCGGCUCGCACCGUACAAACGCGGCCGCAACAAUUCAAAAUAUGAAAUAUGGCAUCGUGAUCAAUUUUUCGGUACUCGUAUUCUCGGCGGACGCAAAUUUUUCAUCCAUCCCAUACCUCGAAAGAGAAGAGAAGGGAAAGACGCGAGGAAGGGUGAGUCGAACGAUGGGUGUCGAGACGAUUUUUCCAAGGGAUGGGAGUGAUCGAAUGCAUCCUGAGACGUCACCGACGAAGAUCGCCUCGGAUGUCUCCGCGAUGUCGCUCGAUAAGUUUCGGACCAUUUCGGCUGUGCUCGUCGUGAGUGGUGGUGUUUGCAGAGGGGGGACUCGUCCGUGAUUCGAUUCAGUUCUCGUACGUCCGCGCAACAGUUCAGAUACCCAUCGUGUAACAGGGAUUCGGCCUUCCUAAUUGGAGGAGUUUGUGUUGAGUUAAACGAGAUAAACUGAUACAAGUGCGCCUCGAGAUAAGCUUCGACUCUGGCCUCUAUCCCGUAAUUGACCGAAUUCAAAAAUAAAGAGCGUUCACGCAGAUAGAUCGUCUGUUUUCCACAUUGAUUGCUGAUUGCAAGAAGAUAGAGCUGUAGGAACCGGUGGCAAGUGUUUACAGACUGACCAUUAAGUGAGACGUCGCCUGUGACAGAUACUCGACUAGAGGGUAAAAUCGGUGGGUCUGUUAAAAAUCGAAGACACGGGAAUUGGAUUAGAAGGACCGGUGAAAAAGGUCGCGCGGUCGUUUAUUCUCUCCUGAACCCUGUCGAGUGAAGCUUAGCCUGAAAUAACAUCUGGUUGUUGUCAAGUGCUCUUCCUGCUCCAGUCGAUUCAUCUUCGAUAAGUUACAAGAUCCAGAAAACAGCUGGCCCGAGAGCGAAGGUCGCCGGCCAUGGAAUAUAAUUAGUCCGCACCACUUAUGGAACGUCAGGCCAACUAUGGGUACACUGUACGCUGAAACGCUCACGCUAGUCGUCACGAGAUCUACUUGGAAAUCGGCCUUUGUCCAACACGUGUGCCCACGGACAGUUUUGUUUCCUUCUUAAAGCGACUCCUUCGUUCUAUCGUUUGGACGUUCUAUCAUAUGUCACGAAAGGAACGUCAGGAAAUAACCUGCGCAUUGAUGGUCAGUAUCUGCAAAUAUUUCAAGGGUAACCAACUUUUUUUCCAGGAACUUCCAUGGACUUGCUCCAUUCCUUUAAAGGAUCCUUAAUCGGGUCGAUUGUUCGACGAAGCCUUGGACGAGCCUUUGGAUUUUCCAAAUAGCAGAUAACCGAUGCCAGAGUACAUAGUAAUUACGACAGCUGUAAUUGCCGGUGUAUUAGCCGUUGCAAAUGUCGAACCUGCCAACCACAAGGUUUCCCUCGUAAACCUGGGGGAAGAAGAUCGUCCAAUUAACUGUCUCGUUUAAUUGAAUCUUAUUUCCUUUUCGCUUGGUCCAGUUCCAUCGGGGCUUCCGCGCUUAAUCGCGCAAGCCGAACGCAAUGCCUAGAAGAACAACCACGGACAAAAGUAAUUUCAGCCUGCUCCUGGUAAAUCACGGGACAAUUUAUUGUACGAUAGAAAAGACAGAGUUAAAUGGAGCAGCAUUUUUGUGGUAGUCGUUGGUACUUCAGCCUUCGACAGCUCGCAAAUUGUCGUCGAGAGCCGCUCGAAUUUUGUGAAAACGGACCAUACCACGUUUAAAUGCCCGUCCAGACACGGGGCAUUCUUUCGAAUUUUUCAGACAAUUCGUUUUGCGGCGGAUGCCACGAGGGAGAGAACAGCAAGCAGAAACGAAGUAGAGGAGUUUCGAGAACCAAGGGGAUACGGGGAGCAAUUCCCCGGGACGAGUCGAGGUGGAGGUGCAGGUAUUCUUUUUAAGGCGGAACACUUUACCGUUGCUCGUUCCACGCUGGUAAUGGAGAAUCUCCCAGCCACCCCAAGGAAUUAAUUCGGGGCUAACGCCGAGACACUCCCCGAUAUCGAGUCACUUCGUUCCACGGGCCAAUGUUAGUAUCUGCUUACCACCCUCUCGGUUAGCUUUUCACCGUACUUAGCCAUUUCGACUCCUUCUUUUCUCUUCUUGUUCAGCGAAACGAUUUCUAAUUUGUCCUCUAAUUUGUCCAAGAUCCUCGAAUCCGUUUUACUGGGUCACUUGAAAAAAAAGGAAAGAAAGGGGAUAGAGAAAAAAAAAGAAAGGUAAAAUGUUCUCUGUAUCUUUCUCCGCCUCUUACGCCCACUGGCUGCAUCUGCGUACGUAUUGGUCGGAUAUUUGGCUACGAUUUUUGCCAUCAAUUGUGCGCUUAAGCAGUCGUAGUAGCCCUUUAUUGCCAGGCUCGCGGUCUCCAAGAUGAAAAGCGAACUCCUGGCGAGCUUCCACCAGAAUUAAGAGACACUCGAGGCGCUUUUUAAUUAGCACGAAAGGACAUCAUCGGGAAGAGACAGAGCUUCGGUCUAAAUACGUAAUUAAAGCCGUGAAUGGGGUAGUUACAGUAACUGCGUGGAACGUCAUCGACUGCCAGUGAAAUCGGCCGGAAAACGCACUCCUUCGGAAGCGUGCUGGAGCAAUUUCUCUUCCCACAUCCUCUCAAAAACUCAUUCUCAUAACUUUAUCGAUAUUUACGCGUGUAGCUUCUUCGUCGUAAAUGCAAAUCUUUCAGAAAUUUGUUUACAUUCUCGCAUCGAGGAAGCAUCACGGUGGCAUCCCUCUUUCACGAUACAAAGCACGCGUUAUUCGCCGCUUCGCAUUUCUCUAAAAUUCUUCCAGCGUAAGUAACAUCCCCGCCCUUCAAAAAAUUCGGAAAAUUCCAAGAAAAUUGCAAGAAAAUCAGAAACUGCCAUUCGAAAACUUCCCCCCACCCCCUAACUUUACCUACGCCUACUUUAUGCGUGAAGUUUAUUUCAUAGACGCAAAUCUUGUAGAUUCUCGUACGAAGGAGAAAUCACGUCAGGAUUUUCUUCACUAUGCGAAGCACGUGUCGUUCGCCGCAGAAUCUGCUUCUCUAUGGAAUUCUUCGAGUAUAAUCUCUCCCCUUCUGACGAAAAUUCAGAAGAUUCCGAAGAAAAGCGAAAAAUCGAAAUUCGAAAGCCUGGUGUUUCAGUAACUACAAACAGGAUGCCUUUGAAAGCAUCUUCGGGCGCACGAAGCGCGCGCGAAAGAGAUGAACGAGAUCGGGGCGCGAGGUCGAGGGAGGCUGGCACAGCUUGAAAGGGAGGGGGAGAACCCGAGGGCCGAGAAAGAGAGGGAAAUUCAAAGAUGGCGCCACGCGUAUGCCCGACAGAGAUAAAGCACAGGGGUUAAAGAAAGACGUGCACUUUCGUUGGCUUCCCCUCUCACAGCGACGAAGAGUGACCGGGCCGAAAAGUCCGAAUCCGAUCGUGGAACGGCUCAGUAGUGCGCGAGACACAUUUCCCGACGCGUGUUCGUCGCUCGUAUCGAUAUCUCUCGAUGAUUCACGAGCGUUGCGGCGAGAAUACGCGGCGACCAAUCCCCAGUUCCGUUACAUCAGCAUCCGACUACGUGGGUCCUCGACGAUUGGCUCUCUCUGCGCUGCGCUCGAGUAUCUCUCUCUAGCAACCAGAAAGGGAGAAAAAGAGAUGCACUCGUAUAUUUUAUACUCACGAUUCUGGCUUAUUCUCGUACGAGAUACAGCGUGAUCCGUUCGCUGAAGAAUCGCGCGUGCUUUUCGUGUGAAACGAGAAAUUACGAGCUUUCGACGAAGAGGAAACGUUAGCGAGAAUUCAACCAACAGCCGAGCGACAGAGAAAGGGAAGAGAGGGAGAGCAGAGCAGAGCAGAGUAAGAGGGUAUUUUGGACGCAGAUCGAUCGGUCGCGGCCGCUCUCCGGUUCGCGCCAUGUGACCGGUCAAAGACCAGUCUGCAUAGGAAAAGAGGUUAGAAAACUUAUUCGUUGUCUUUGCGCGUACGGUGGCCGCGUGGUGUUACGUCCGUUCGUUAAUCGAGAAAAUGAGAGGUGUCGAGUAACUUGACGUUGUCAGUAACGCGCGAGCCAGUGAAAGAUUCGCUUGUUUUUCAUAAAGUGUGCAUCGGUCGCCUUAGUUGUUCUAGUGGCGGUCUUCGAAGAGCGCGGUCGCGAGGGAAGAGAGAGCAGCGGAGUUUGCUACGAGAGUGUGUAGUUGUCUCGGGUCAGAUGUAAAAAUAAAAGGAAGCAGACGUGUCUCAAGGCUAUCGCGCCGCAUAUUGUCUCGCCAGGAGCGUAAAAUCACGCGAGAGUCUCCCUGCAUGCCGUUUAUUUCAUUCCGCCGAUAUCCUCCGAUGUAAGCGCGCGCAUCCUCUUAUCAUCGCUUCGCUCGUAUACUUGCACGGUUUACACGCGAGAGUGUUACUAAUAUAACCCGCUUUCCGAGUGGAGCUUUUGUUCAGUGUCACGAAUUUAUUCUUCGUCGCUUGAAAAAAAUCGCGCGCUUUAGGAAGGAAAUAAAUUAGAUCACGGUAGUUUAUGCAAUUAAAUGUCAGCUGAAUAUAAUGUAAAGCGUAUAACGUGUAUAUAUAGGAUUAUAAUAUUAAUUCCUCUUGUUUUUAUAUUUGUUACUGUAAAAAAUAGAAAAAACAGGACGAAUUUAUGUUACAACCCAGUAGUAUAAUACAAUCUAAGGAUUAAUUCCAUCGUCGAUAUAUUGGGAACAACGAAACGUAUUUUUCGUUUGUUUCGUUUUCGAUCUCUUCUCUCGCGGUAUCUCGAUUCCGGUGAGACAAAAAGAACGCGGCUUGGAACAAAUGCAGGGUUCGUUCGUGCGUGAAAUUCUACGAGGUUCGUUCCGAGAAAGAAAUCAGCUCGAAGAAAAAUAAAUAAACGUGUGUUGCUUCCCUGCAUACGUUCGAUACAUUCGUUAGCACUUUUUCGAGGUUCGUUUGUGACAAAACUUCGCUAUCGUAUACAUAUAUAGCAAAUAUUUAUGUAUUUAACCGCUUUAGGGCCGAUAGUUAGUAAAAUUCGUUUCGGAAAGAUAGUACGAUCUACCAAGAUCUAUCUCUUCAUGGAAUCAUAAACUUUGAAAAGCACGUGUGCUCGGGCCACGUGUUCUGUAACGUUACGAAAGAAUUUUCUCUGGGAUUUUGAAUCUUCCUUUAUUCUUUUUUGUCCGUAAUACUCAUUCUUGCGUUUUGUUAAUAGCAAGCGAGACACGAAUAGUUUAUUUCUUUUCACUCGAUUAGGAAGAUGUUAAAACAUUUUCUUUCUGGCUUCAAGUUUUUUUUUUUUUUUAUAAAUGAUAUUGUUAGAAAAUUAAUGUAUGGAACACUGUUACGUACACUAAAAUAGUAAAUGGCAUUUCUUAAACGAUUAAAAUAUCAAGCCAGCGUUAGGAGCUAUAUGUAUAUGGCGUGUAUAGGCAGAUAACGUGUGCUUAUCUAGAAAAGCAGAAUUCGUCUACCAAAACCUUGAGCAUUUUCGAUUAACCUCUAUUUAUUUAUUAGAGAUUUAUUAAAGCUUGCUGAAUUAUGAUUCCUUCUUAUUUUUCCAAGAAGAAUCAGAAUAUAUAACGUGACGUAGUAAAAAUUAUUCUUCCUUUCUUCUCACAGUUACCAUUCAGUUGACAAAUUUCUCGGAGAACGCAUCUGUAUUAAAGAGAAAAUUCAACAUACGCGUUAGUACUCCGCGAGAGGUUGAAAUAUUUGCGAUAGAAUUGCGACAGUCAUUGAAGUCAGCGAGGAAAUUGAAGCCCAGCGGAGACAGAUAAGUGGGUCGCAUUCGCUUCUGACUGCUGAUUUCUGAAUUCACUGUCGCUGUUGCGAAUCGACGUCAAUGAGAUCGAUAUCAAUUAAGCCACGGGCCGUUGAUCGCUGGAAACCCCAUAAAUGGCAAUCUGCUUACACCGGUAUUUCCUGAGAAUGUCUAACACACACCGACCAAGUGUGUUUAAACAUAAUCCAUAUAUUUCCUUCGCAUUUUACUU